GGGGGGGAGCAAGCGUUGUUCGGAAUUACUGGGCGUAAAGGGCGCGUAGGCGGCCGAGGUAAGUCGCGUGUGAAAUGCCGGGGGCUCAACCCCCGUGCACUGCAUGCGAUACUGCUUGGCUCGAGAGAGGUAGGGGCGAGCGGAAUUCCCGGUGUAGCGGUGGAAUGCGUAGAUAUCGGGAAGAACACCAGUGGCGAAGGCGGCUCGCUGGACCUCUUCUGACGCUGAAGCGCGAAAGCGUGGGGAGCAAACAGGAUUAGAUACCCUGGUAGUCCACGCCGUAAACGCUGGGUGCUAGGUGUUGGGGGGAUUGACCCCUUCAGUGCCGACGCUAACGCAUUAAGUACCCCGCCUGGGGAGUACGGUCGCAAGGCUG
rnacentral:rRNA from 1 species